rnacentral:lncRNA from 1 species
CACAAGUCCUCCUGCCAUUCGGGAAAACUGAAAACCCUCCAUGUCACCUUUUGAGUGUCAAGGCAUCUUCCAUUGGCCACGAAAUGACAGAGAAGUCAUCCAUCUGCAGAAGCCUCCUGUGUGCACCGUGGAAUCACCGUGUCUGUACGGGCACGAAUGCUUUAAGAAAACAGCCCUGCUUCUUCACAAACUCUAGUCAUUUCACUUGGAAUCUGUCCAUCAAGAAAUUAGGUUUGCAGAGUCCAAAGCAAGCUCCCUAGAGCUUUACAAACAAGCUGGCGGGCAAGGCAGCGCGCCCUAUAGUGUCUCUGUGGAGCGCUAAGAUCUGUGACCCCUUUGCCACAUGGGGUGUGCGCUCAGACUGGGCUAUGAAUAUAUCAGCCUCUCUCCACCCGCACUUAGGGACAGAAGAUAUGGAGACUCCAGGAACUUCAUGAACUAUUUGCUGUGGUCUUCUGUCCCGGGAUAGUCCGGGUCUCACUCCCAGCUCUCCAGAGCUUAACCCUCCCUCUCAGGGGAAUGUUUGAAACCUACGAAGAAUUCUCAGGAAUUCGAGGUAGAAGGUGGCAGAGAGACUUCUGUUCCUGGGGGCCGAGCUGUUGUGCUGAUACCGUCCUCUUGGCGUCUGCCCUAGUGGGGACCCUUGAUUUUAACUUGAAGUUCCUGGACUGGGUCUAACCUUAGCAUGUGUGCCUGAGUGAUGGACUUGGUAUUUACACCAGCCACGCUGAUAAGUGCACAUGUGUUUUUAAUGUUUUGGCUUUCCACACCACAAACACACAGAUGUGCUGUCGCCCGGGCUAGGACUUGAGUAGGGUUUUUCUAUUUAAAUAUAUAUUAUAUAUUUAAAAAAGUGUCCUCCCAGAGCUAAUACCGUUGCUAGCAGCUCUUCCUGCCGCCACACCGGGCAAAG